UAUAGCAAUCUAUAGCUAUAGUUUUAUCUAAUAAAAUGGUCAAACAAAGGUGGCUUGGGCCCAAAAGUGACCCAGGCCCAAAAUAGAAAAGGAAACAAAAGAAAAAAAAACUAUCAGUAAAAAAGAAACAAAAAGACGAGCGACAGACAGAAACUCCGAUGUCUGAUUCCUCCUCUUCACAUCUUCUUCGACGACGUUGGCGUUCCGAGGAAACCUUACCUCUCGAUGGUGACAAAGACGAGAGAGUUUCAAGCUCGAGUGAUAUCCACAUGGGCGUUUAAACUCUCGCAAACACCAUGGAUUCAGCUCAGUGAAGACUUCUUCAGCUCGAAACCAAUCGUACCAAACAUAUCUCAAGAUUGAACCCCAAGGAGUUGAUACCACUGCAACAAACCCAUAAAUUUACCAAGUAUAGAUACACACUUUGGGGAUCCACCAGCGUAGAAGUCUCACUCAGCAGUUCAGAGGCUCUCUAUUGUGCUGGAGCCUAGAUUUUGGUACUAACCCUUGAUGUAUAUAUUUAUUUGUUCAUGGGUACGGCGGGGGUCCUGUCCCGCCUUAUGUUCCUGUUCUUACUCUUAGAGGUCUGUGGACAUGUAUAUGGGUUGUAUAUGUACGUGUGUACAGUUGUGCCUAUAUGUCUUAUGUUUUGGGUCAUUCCCUUUGUCGUGGCAACCUUGUCGGCUCGCGUGUGUGUUCAUUAUGGAAUGAACCUACAUGUUACGAUAGCCUCGUCGGCUUAUACAUUGUGUUGCCUUAUGCUGUCUGUUGGUACAUUAUAACUCAAACAGGAGGCAGGUUUACUUAUAGUUAGCAAGGGUACACAUGAGUGUCCAAUUCAGGCAGGCACCCAUCACGGCCUGCGGGGUUGGGUCGUAGCAAUUAACAUAAGAUGAAUGUGGAUGCACUGGUUGAAGUUAGAAAGUCAAACGAAGGCAAAAGUUACAGAAAAUAAUGCUGAUGCAGUGUUCCACGAGAAGAUCUACGGACUGUAGAAAGUUACAUGAUCGUAGGACCACCCAUACAAGAGGUCCAAAGUGAAAUGUUGUCAAGGUCAACUGUAUGGACGGUGAUAUGAUCCAUACCAGGUCCCAUGGACCAUUUACCCAACCAUAGGAAAGUCCACAUGAAAAGUUGUAGAGGAAGGGUUAUACGGACCCUUGUACGGAUAGUUAAAGUAACUACGAUCCGUAAAGAAUUCUGCGAAAGUGAGCUUGAGAAGUGGAAAAUUUAGGCAAGGAUCUACGAGUCGUGGAAACCUUCAUGGAUCAGGGAUUGUUCUGUGAACCCGACCCUCUAGGAACCCAAGAUUCCCUCCUUUCAACAGACACCUAUACCGUCUGUGGAAACUUGUACGGACCAUGUAAGGGUCUGUAUAAGGAGUUGUGACAGUUAAAUUUAAGAGCAUUCCGGAUAUUUUCCUACUCUUUUUAUAUUAAGUCAUGAUGUUUUGGGAUAUUUUCCCCAAUACGCAAACCUAGCAAAAUUUCCCUCAUUCUCUUUUAAAGCCUCCUAAUCAAAAAUCUUCUCUCUAGAAUUCUCUCCAAAGUUUCUUCUCCAAGUCAAGGCUAGGGUUUCAAGUCAAGAUCAAGUCUCCACUGUUUGAAGCUUGAUUUUAGGGCCUUGAUUAUCCAGGUAUGUGGGAAUUCACCAAUGGAUUCUUUUCAUCCAUUUGGUUCCAAAAGAAUUUCA